UACGGAGGGUGCGAGCGUUAAUCGGAAUUACUGGGCGUAAAGCGCGCGUAGGCGGCUCGUUAAGUCGAUUGUGAAAUCCCCGGGCUCAACCUGGGAAUUGCAGUCGAUACUGGCGGGCUGGAGUGUGGGAGAGGGUAGUGGAAUUCCCGGUGUAGCGGUGAAAUGCGUAGAUAUCGGGAGGAACAUCAGUGGCGAAGGCGACUGCCUGGCCCAACACUGACGCUGAGGUGCGAAAGCGUGGGUAGCAAACAGG
rnacentral:rRNA from 1 species